rnacentral:rRNA from 1 species
GAUGAACGCUGGCGGCGUGCCUAAUACAUGCAAGUCGAGCGAACGGACGAGAAGCUUGCUUCUCUGAUGUUAGCGGCGGACGGGUGAGUAACACGUGGAUAACCUACCUAUAAGACUGGGAUAACUUCGGGAAACCGGAGCUAAUACCGGAUAAUAUUUUGAACCGCAUGGUUCUAUAGUGAAAGACGGUCUUGCUGUCACUUAUAGAUGGAUCCGCGCUGCAUUAGCUAGUUGGUAAGGUAACGGCUUACCAAGGCAACGAUGCAUAGCCGACCUGAGAGGGUGAUCGGCCACACUGGAACUGAGACACGGUCCAGACUCCUACGGGAGGCAGCAGUAGGGAAUCUUCCGCAAUGGGCGAAAGCCUGACGGAGCAACGCCGCGUGAGUGAUGAAGGUCUUCGGAUCGUAAAACUCUGUUAUUAGGGAAGAACAUAUGUGUAAGUAACUGUGCACGUCUUGACGGUACCUAAUCAGAAAGCCACGGCUAACUACGUG